rnacentral:rRNA from 1 species
CCUACGGGAGGCAGCAGUGGGGAAUAUUGCACAAUGGGGGAAACCCUGAUGCAGCGACGCCGCGUGAGUGAGGAAGUAUUUCGGUAUGUAAAGCUCUAUCAGCAGGGAAGAAAAUGACGGUACCUGACCAAGAAGCCCCGGCUAACUACGUGCCAGCAGCCGCGGUAAUACGUAGGGGGCAAGCGUUAUCCGGAUUUACUGGGUGUAAAGGGAGCGUAGACGGCGAUGCAAGUCUGAAGUGAAAGGCGGGGGCCCAACCCCCGGACUGCUUUGGAAACUGUAUGGCUGGAGUGCAGGAGAGGUAAGUGGAAUUCCUAGUGUAGCGGUGAAAUGCGUAGAUAUUAGGAGGAACACCAGUGGCGAAGGCGGCUUACUGGACUGUAACUGACGUUGAGGCUCGAAAGCGUGGGGAGCAAACAGGAUUAGAUACCCCUGUAGUC